CCCGGCUUGGCGGAAUUGGUAGACGCAACGGACUUAAAAUCCGUGGAUCUUUCGAUCGUACCGGUUCAAGUCCGGUAGCCGGGACCA
rnacentral:tRNA from 1 species